rnacentral:rRNA from 1 species
GAUGAACGCUAGCGACAGGCCUAACACAUGCAAGUCGAGGGGCAGCACAAGGUAGCAAUACUGAGGUGGCGACCGGCGCACGGGUGAGUAACGCGUAUGCAACCUGCCUGUAACAGGGGAAUAGCCUCUUGAAAGAGAGAUUAAUGCCGCAUAAUACGAGAUUCGGGCAUCCGGAUUUAGUUAAACAUUUAUGGGUUACAGAUGGGCAUGCGUUUCAUUAGGUAGUUGGUGAGGUAACGGCUCACCAAGCCGACGAUGAAUAGGGGUUCUGAGAGGAAGGUCCCCCACACUGGUACUGAGACACGGACCAGACUCCUACGGGAGGCAGCAGUGAGGAAUAUUGGUCAAUGGACGCAAGUCUGAACCAGCCAAGUCGCGUGAAGGAUGAAGGUAUUAUGUAUUGUAAACUUCUUUUGUCAGGGAAUAAUGGGUGUCACGUGUGACGCAGAGGAAUGUACCUGACGAAUAAGCAUCGGCUAACUCCGUGCCAGCAGCCGCGGUAAUACGGAGGAUGCGAGCGUUAUCCGGAUUUAUUGGNUUUAAAGGGUGCGUANGCGGUUUGUUAAGUCAGUGGUGAAAGUUUGCGGCUCAACCGUAAAAUUGCCAUUGAAACUGG